rnacentral:rRNA from 1 species
GAUGAACGCUAGCGGCAGGCUUAAUACAUGCAAGUCAAGGGGCAGCAUGAGUGUAGCAAUACAUUUGAUGGCGACCGGCAAACGGGUGCGGAACACGUACACAACCUUCCUUUAAGUGGGGAAUAGCCCAGAGAAAUUUGGAUUAAUACCCCGUAACAUUAUGAUGUGGCAUCACAUUAUAAUUAUAGCUCAGGCGCUUAAUGAUGGGUGUGCGGCUGAUUAGGUAGUUGGCGGGGUAACGGCCCACCAAGCCUGCGAUCAGUAACUGGUGUGAGAGCACGACCAGUCACACGGGCACUGAGACACGGGCCCGACUCCUACGGGAGGCAGCAGUAAGGAAUAUUGGGCAAUGGAGGGCAACUCUGACCCAGCCAUGCCGCGGUGGAGGAUGAAGAUCCUCUGGAUUGUUAAACUUCUUUUAUAGUGGGACGAAAAAGGGUCUUUUCUAGGUCAACUGGACGGUACCAUAUGAAUAAGCACCGGCUAACUCC